GUUUUAAUAGUUUAAUUAAAAUAUAACAUUGAAGAUGUUAAGAUGGAAAUGUUUUCUUAAAACA
rnacentral:tRNA from 1 species